rnacentral:lncRNA from 1 species
UGGGCCCUCAGGGUCGAGGUUGCGGUCCGCAUCGCCUCCUGCCCCAGAUCGGAUUAGGUGUGCAGUUGCCUACAUAUGCCUGUGGCCUCAAGGCCAUGUAGAAAUUGUCCCUGGUUCAGCCAAAGCAAAUUCAACUGUGCUUUUUCCCCAAGUCUGCAUUCAGUGACAUCAUGUUGGUGGAUUGAAAUCAGCCACAGUGGGAAUAUUUACACCACAGAAAUGGGCAGCAACCACCACAAAUCAGGGCUUUAUUCAUUAUUUGGUUGACUAUCUAGACUUAAGAAGGUUAUGGAGAAAAUGCUAAUAAUGCACAUGGCAGGGAACCCACGGAGAGUGAGAAUUUGGAGAUUCAGGAAAAGAGGGUACAUGACACGAGGCAGGAGGGUGCAAGGCUGGCAGCACCUACUACACGGCAUCUUAGGUGCUCAACACCUAUUCUGUUGAGUAGAAAAUACUAUCACCACCACCAUUCUAGAAGUCUUUUCUUUUAUUGUCCCACCAAUGCGAAGAUACUUCAAACUUUUUUUUUUUGAGAGCCAUGGCAAUCUUUUUACACUUGAUUUUAGCCAAAAG